AAAUUCAGCGAAAUCACAGUAAGUAUUUGUGUAAUAUAUUACAACGCAUCAUAUAUAUUUAUAACUCUACAAAAUUUAAGUAUAUUCUUUAUUUCAGGUUCCCCACAUAAAUUCUCCUUCAAAGUCGAUCUGAUGUUGCAGUUUUCUCUCAUAGCAGUGUACGCUGGACAUUCACAUAUAAGGUGAGGAAUUGUUAACGGAUCGUUACACCAUUCACACAAUGGUUGGUUCUCACGUUUCAGUAUAUGUCCAUGUGUGAUCUGAGUGUGACCUAUACGAAGACGAUGUAGUUUGGUUGUAUCACGUCUGUGGAGCUUGACAACAGGGUACCAUUGGAGACGAUCAUGUAUCAUCUUUUCUAAAAGUUUUCCUAGACAGCAGGUUAGGCUCACGGGUCUGUAGCUUGAUGGAGUUGAGGAUUCCUUUCCUGGUUUCAAGAUGGGAACAAUUAUCGCUUCUUUCCAUUCAUCAGGGUGUUAUGUUUUUCAGCAUUUCAUUGGAGAUCUCAUCUAUUCCAGGAGCACUCUGUUUCAAAGCAUGUAAGGCCUCUUGCAGUUCUGCCAUAGUGAAUGGUUGGUUGUAUUCAAAUUCUUGUUCUGUGUGAAAAUCAAGGUUCAACUCCCUCUCCAGCUUCUUUUCAGCAAAUAAGCUGUUGUAGUUACUUGAGCUACUCACAUCUUUGUAAUGGUUUGCGAAAAUAUCUGCUAUUUCCGUCGGCUCUUCUAUAAUAUUCCCUCCUACUUUCAGGCAUGUUAUUGGAUUUGGGUUAUGUUUCCCUGAAAUUGAUUUUAUCUUUUUCCAAACAUUUCCUAGACUCUCAUCAGUUGUUAUGGAUGAUAUAUAUUGAUUCCAGCUUUGUCGUUUGGAUUCGAGGAUUUUUCUUUUGGCCUCGGCUCGAGCUUUUUUAAAUGCUACCAAGUUUUCAGUUGUAGGGUGUUUUUUGAAGCGAUUUAAGGCUGUCUUCUUUUUUUUAAUUAAAGAGCUCACCUCGUGGUUCCACCACGGCACUACAUAUUUCAACGGUAUAGAACUGGUCUUUGGGAUACUUCUAUCAGCUGCAUGUUUCAGUGACUCUGUUACAGAUUUAACACUUAUGUUCUCAGGAGGGAUCAACUCAGUCUUAAAUUUCUGCCAAUUGGCUUUUCUAUUGAGCCAUCGUCUUGGGGCGUAAUGAAUUCUCCUCAAUUCCUCAGUUUCAACAAUUAUUGGAAAGUGAUCACUAUUGUGCAGAUCGUCGUCUACGGUCCAUAGUAGUUUGGUGGCUAGAAUAUUUGAUACAACUGUGAGAUCUAUUGCUGAGAACGUGUUACUGAUAGUAUUCAUGUGCGUAUGUGAACCGGUAUUUAAUAGGGUUAGAUCGUCCCUUUCAAGCCAAUUUUCAAUCAGUCUUCCUCUUCGGUCGGUUUUUAUUGAUCCCCAUAACAAAUUAUGUGCAUUGAAGUCGCCCAUUAAUAUGAUUGGGGAAGGAAGUUGUUCAAUUAUAUCAUCGAUUUCCCUAGUAGACCAAUUCCCGUCUGGUAAAUAUAUGCUACACAGUGUUGUCUUUGAUGGAAAUUCAACUUCAACAGCGACAGCCUGCAGUGACGUGGUGAGCUGUAUCUCUUUAUAAUGUACAUCAUAUCUCAAUAAUAUAGCCACGCCACCAGAUGCUAUCUCGUUCAGCGUAUGAUCUCUUCUCACAAUAUUGUAUUUUUUUAAAGAGUAUGGUUGAUUAGGUUUCAGGUGAGUUUCUUGUAGACAUAUGCAGAUUGGAUCAUAUUGUUGAAUUAAUAGCUUGAUAUCACAGUAUCUUCUAAUACAUCCUCUACAGUUCCAUUGGA